UCGGUUAGUCGGCACGAGCGCACCUCAUCUUCAGUUACUAACAGGUUAAGCUGAGGACUCUGGAGAAACUGCCGUUGGAAAAGCGGAGGAAGGCGAGGAUGACGUCAAGUCCUCAUGGCCCUUAUGGGCUGGGCUACACACGUGCUACAAUGGUAAUUACAAUAAGUCGCGAAAUGGCAACAUUGAGCUAAUCUUUAAAAAUUAUCUUAGUUCAGAUUGUUCUCUGCAACUCGAGAGCAUGAAGUUGGAAUUGCUAGUAAUCGUGGAUCAGCAUGCCACGGUGAAUACGUUCCCGGGUCUUGUACACACCGCCCGUCACACCAUGGGAGUUGGUUUUACCUGAAGCCGAUUUUUAAAUCGUCCACGGUAAGGUCAGCGACUGGGGUGAAGUCGUAACAAGGUAGCCGUAGGGGAACCUGCGGCUGGAACACCUCCUUUCU
rnacentral:rRNA from 1 species